rnacentral:misc_RNA from 1 species
CGCACCUUGCGCUCCUUGGUAUUCCGAGGAGCAUGCCUGUUUGAGUGUCAUGUUAAUCCUCAACCCGUCGGGUUGGACUUUGGACGCUUGCGGGAGCUGCUUCCGCUCGUCUCAAAUGCAUUAGCGGGGUUUCAGGCAUAGAGAACCCACCGUAGGCGUUUAGUUAUACUUGCGCCGCGCUGGACCUCUUCAGCGCCCCUUUGGACCGCUCACCAGCGGACGCCUCCGCGCGUCGAACUUGACUUCUGGCCUCAAAUCAGGUAGGACUACCCGCUGAACUUAA